UCAUCGGUUGUUCAGUGGUAGAAUGUUCGCCUGCGACGCGGGCGGCCCCGGGGUUCGCUUCUCGGCCGAUGCA
rnacentral:tRNA from 1 species